AUUGAACGCUGGCGGCAUGCCUUACACAUGCAAGUCGAACGGUAACAGGUUAAGCUGACGAGUGGCGAACGGGUGAGUAAUACAUCGGAACGUGCCCAGACGCGGGGGAUAGCUCGGCGAAAGCCGGAUUAAUACCGCAUAAGCUCUGAGGAGGAAAGCGGGGGACCGUAAGGCCUCGCGCGUUUGGAGCGGCCGAUGGCAGAUUAGGUAGUUGGUGGGGUAAAGGCUUACCAAGCCUACGAUCUGUAGCUGGUCUGAGAGGACGACCAGCCACACUGGGACUGAGACACGGCCCAGACUCCUACGGGAGGCAGCAGUGGGGAAUUUUGGACAAUGGGCGAAAGCCUGAUCCAGCAAUGCCGCGUGCAGGAUGAAGGCCUUCGGGUUGUAAACUGCUUUUGUACGGAACGAAAAGGCGCCUACUAAUACUGGGUGUUGAUGACGGUACCGUAAGAAUAAGCACCGGCUAACUACGUGCCAGCCGCCGCUGUAA
rnacentral:rRNA from 1 species